UGUGUCCCAUACAAUCGAUUUUAUUUGCACCAGAAAAGUAACAUGGAUUCAUUCUGAGAAUGGGUGGUGUUACACUGCUUGCUCGAAGUGCUCCAAGAAGCAGUGUGGCGAAUCUUCAUUCAAGUCCGUAUGAUGUGAGGGUCCAAAUGCUGAGAAUACAAUCGAUUAUAUAUUGUUUUAAAAAAAAGAAAAAAAUUUUGCCCUCCCGCAACCGCCCGCAACCGCAGACGCUAACUGGAGCCAGCUUUUGAAUUUAUGAGAUUCGGAGCAGUUUGAAGCGGUUUAGAGCGAUUUGAGUUAUUGUUGCAAACCGCCGACAACCGCUACCAACCGCAAAAGAUGCGUUUGUGGGUGGUAGCGGGAAAACCAGUCACCCCCUUAGACGGGGGCCUAUCAUCGCAGCUCAAAAUUUGUGAUUUCGGAUACUCGAAGGUGUUAUUACACAUUUAAUUCAUAUACUAGAUUUUGACCCGCGUUUUGAAAGCGCGGGUUUUUUUGGGUUAUAAAUAUGAAUUACUUUAGAAAUUUUCAUACAAAAAUGGAGAAUUUUUAUGUUUACCACUUUUUUGGUACCACUAUUCAUGUUUACCAUCACUAAAGAGACAUUUUCAAAAAUACAUUAUUUAUUAAGUGGCAAAAGACUUUUAUACUCUUGUUUUAUAUAUAUGUAUAAUAAAUAAAUAAAAAAGAAAAUAAAAAUAAUUUUUAUUCUUUUCAAUUAUACUUUUUCAAUUUUGAAGUUCUUAUAAAAAAAAUAUGAAUUUUUUUCGAAAUUUUUUUUUCGCUAUUUUGUUUUUUUUUCUUUUUGAGAAUCAAAAAUUAUUUUUGAAACUUUUUGUAAAAUUUUUUAAGUAUUUAUUAGAAUCCUAAAUUUCACAUUUCAAAAAC
rnacentral:lncRNA from 1 species